CAGCAGCCGCGGUAAUACGAAGGUCCCGAGCGUUGUUCGGAACCACUGGGCGUAAAGGGAGCGUAGGCGGCGUGGUAAGCCAGAUGUGAAAUCCCGGGGCUCAACCCCGGAACUGCAUCCGAUACUGCCGUGCUAGAGGAUUGGAGAGGUAGCUGGAAUUCUUGGUGUAGCAGUGAAAUGCGUGGAGAUCAAGAGGAACACUCGUGGCGAAAGCGAGCUACUGGACAAUAUCUGACGCUGAGGCUCGAAGGCCAGGGUAGCGAAAGGGAUUAGAUACCCGAGUAGUCCCUGUCUCUUAUAC
rnacentral:rRNA from 1 species